rnacentral:lncRNA from 1 species
AUCUCUAUCUGAAGAUUGCUCCUCUUAGAGUCCUUCUGUGAGCCCAGGACAUGGGAAGGUGAGGGGGUAGCACCGAAGGGAGCAUUUUAAGUUCAAGAUCUUCUGGCUCUCACUGUUUGUUCUGAUUUGAGUGCUUAAAUAAAAGCAACUAGCAACCUGGGAAGUGAUUUCUGUCAUCCUGCUGUUCAAACCAGCCUGUGGCAUCAGGAAGAAACCCAAGGAAAUACUUGACACAGGAUGUUAGGUCAACCCUGAAGCUCUUUCUGAGUGCAAUGGAAAAACUUCUUGUAGGCUCUGCACCCAAAUUAUUAAAUGAGUUGUAAACCAUGCUGCUUAUACAUGAGCUUGUGCCAAGCUGCUCUGAGCUGCAGUCUCUCUGAUUUCAGAUACUACAUGGUCAACUUCUGAGGGUCCUGCAUUUGCCCAAAUCCCUAUGAAGGUAUGACUUCAAAGAAGACUCACUGUACAAAGGGUCUACGACUACUGUACAGUAAUUAGUGGGAAGACACAUUUGCAAAAAUACAACCCACAAAUUUCAAAGCAGAGAUAAGAAAUAAGUGUGAAGCCAUGAAGUUUCUACUUUGAUAUUUUUGCAACUUAUACAUUUUGUAACACUACCGAGGCUGAGAUUUGUCAAUUUAAAAUAUAUUUUUCAUUUAGGAAAAAAGUGUACUAGAUAACACUAAUCAUCUCUGUCUUAAAAUCAAUCUGUUAGUUUUGAUUAACAAGCUAUCAGGCUUUCAUUUUCUUCAAAUGAUUAUUGGCAUAUAAAGAUAGCGUCUGAUUGUUAGUUAGCCAAGUAUUACUUACCAUGUUUGUUUUAAUGUUUUGUCAGCUUGCAUUUUCUGCAGAUCCCAUAUUUUUUUCUCUUAUGUGUGUUCCAUUUUGCAUAGAAUCUGUAAAGCAAAGUCAAAGGAAAUUUAUUGUUAAUAGCAAAUAAAGGUAAAUAUCACUAUGGU